UUUACUGUGUUCUGACUGCCAUGUGUCACUAUGCACUUGUUCGUGUCUUCACCUCUCCUCCUGCUGCAUUUUAGUCUCUGGACAUACACAACUGUUUUCCUUCUCACAGGUGUCAGCAAGUCCCUCCUCUGCACCUGCAGAAGCAGCAACAGAAAAGACACAAGUGGAAGAGGAAGUGAAAACCACGAAGAAAACCAGGAAGCCCAGGAAGAAUACCUGGUGGAAUGUCCUGAACCGUUGGGACAUUUUUAAUAUAUUUUAGAGACCUCUGAAGAUUCUGCAAACACCAGGAAGGGCCCUGAUGUGGAGAUGUCAACCUGGCGCAGACCUGAUGUGGAUCGUGAUUGUUUCGGGAACUGUGCUACUCCAAAAACUUUUAUAAUCUUUGCUUAAUUUGUUUUUAAAUAUUUUCCUGGCUAUGGUGGCUCAUGCCUGUAAUCCCAGCACUUUGGGAGGCUGAGGUGGGUGGAUCACCUGGGGUCAGGAGUUCGAGGCCAGCCUGGCCAAGGUGAAACCUCGUCUCUACUAAAAACACAAAAAUUAGCUGGGCAUGCUGGCGGGUGCGUGUAAUACCAGCCACUCAAGAGGCUGAGGCAGGAGAAUCGCUUGAACCUGGGAGGCGGAGGUUGCAGUGAGCCGAGAUCAUGCCACUGCACUCCAGGCUGGAGAGAGGAAAAAAAAAAAAAAAAAAAAAAAAAAUUCUGACUUUAACCUCUAUUUUUUAGAGGGCACAAAUUGUUCUUUUGUUGUUUCUAUUUUACAUUUUUUCCUGAAGUUAUAUUCCAAUUGUUUUCAUUCUUUCUGAAGUUUUGUUCACUCAGUUU
rnacentral:lncRNA from 1 species